GACGAACGCUGGCGGCGUGCCUAAUACAUGCAAGUCGAGCGGAAGUUGGAGAGCUUGCUCUUCAACUUUAGCGGCGGACGGGUGAGUAACACGUGGGCAACCUGCCCUGCAGAUCGGGAUAACUCCGGGAAACCGGUGCUAAUACCGAAUAGUUUUCGCCACCUCCUGGUGGCGUACGGAAAGACGGUUUCGGCUGUCACUGCAGGAUGGGCCGGCGGCGCAUUAGCUAGGUGGUGGGGUAACGGCCCACCAAGGCAACGAUGCGUAGCCGACAGGAGAGGGUGAUCGGCCACACUGGGACUGAGGCACGGCCCAGACUCCGACGGGAGGCAGCAGUAGGGAAUCUUCCGCGAUGGACGAAAGUCUGACGGAGCAACGCCGCGUGAGUGACGAAGGUUUUCGGAUCGUAAAACUCUUUUGUGAGGGAAGAACAAGUACCAACUAACUACUGGUACCUUGACGGUACCUCACCAGAAAGCCACGGCUAACUACGUGCCAGCCGCCGCGGUAACAC
rnacentral:rRNA from 1 species